AAAGUAAAAAAAAAUUAAGCUUCUAACUUAACUUAUAGUGAAACUACUCAUUAUUACUUUU
rnacentral:tRNA from 1 species